rnacentral:ribozyme from 1 species
GAAAAGAGAACAUCAGGCACAUUCGAUGGGAUCAUUGAAUAUGCUUUUGAAUGUUUCCAUUCUUUUUUUGUUUUUGUUUCACUUUGUUUUUGUUUUUGUUUUUGUUUUUGGUUGUGAAAAA